GACGUAGGGCGCGAGCGUUGUCCGGAUUUAUUGGGCGUAAAGAGCUCGUAGGCGGCUUGUUGCGUCGACUGUGAAAACCCGCGGCUUAACCGCGGGCUUGCAGUUGAUACGGGCAGGCUAGAGUUCGGUAGGGGAGACUGGAAUUCCUGGUGUAGCGGUGAAAUGCGCAGAUAUCAGGAGGAACACCGGUGGCGAAGGCGGGUCUCUGGGCCGUAACUGACGCUGAGGAGCGAAAGCGUGGGGAGCGAACAGG
rnacentral:rRNA from 1 species